rnacentral:rRNA from 1 species
AUGGCCAGCCUCAACGCCAAGGCCAGCACCGGCCAUCUCCGCGUCUACGGUCCGGCGCUGCACGACUACGGCGCCCCGCUUAUGAAGGAGAGAGAUCAGGAAGCGUCACUCCUCCUCCUCAAGAUCCGGCAGCACUACGCGGAAGCCCUCAGGCGGCUCACCUUCCGGUGGCGCUCCGACGUCUGCUUGGGCGUCUGUGUCGGACUGCUCGACCCGGUCUCCAACAUAAUCGCCAGCACCCUCCUCGCCGCCGCAGAAGCUCCAGUUGACACGGACCCGACGGCGGUGGACGGGCCCAAGCUCAGGGACAUGGAGCGGCGCUCGCUCGACGGCCUCGUCGCCUUCCUCACCUGCUUCUUCCCUUACCUCGCCGAUUGGGAGGCCGUCAGGUGCUUCCGCGAAGGCUCCGCCGCCGCCCGCGGCGCCCUCAAGCUGGCCCUCCACUGCGCCAUGGUGGCCGCCAAGCACCCGUGUCCCUCGCAGCUCGCCGACGUGUGGCUGCUGCUCAGCUCCUCCCUCCACAAUGUCGUCCCCUUGCUCUCGGAUGUGCAGCCCAAUUUCCCCCGCGACAUCCUCCACAGCUUCCACACAUUGGUCAAGGAGACGGCACAUUUCCCACAUCCUCCUCCUGAUGGCAGCCUCGUCAGGCCAUGGAAACUUGCUGCCCGUUGCCGCAAGCACGCCGCCAAGCUGACCUACCAGCAUUCGUGGUCACUGACGCGAGUGCUCCUCGACACGAUCCAUGGAUUCUACCUGCAGGCUCUUGCCAGAUUGCCGGUUGGUUACCACCGCAGCCUGCUCGAUGCUGGACAUUGCUACGGCCCGUUCGACCCCGUCUGGAACAUCAUCGUCAACACCAUCUGGUACCAAGCCACCUUCCCACCACUGAGUCAGCAAGACGAGCUCGACAUUGUCGGCACAUUGUGCCUAAUGCGGAUUGAAGCACGAUCCUUCUACGGACUUGUCUCCUUCCUCUGCACCUGUUACCAAGAUCUCGACACCGAUCAGGCCAUAAGGUUCCUGCUCGACACGGCACUCAAUUUGUCCGCGACAAAGCACUGCAGCAGUGUCAAGGAAGAACAAGAAGCCUACCGGGCUGCUGCCAUUGCGGCAUGGCACCCCAGACCCGACGCCCAAGCAGGAUUCCUCAGUUCAUUAAAGGCGAUGUUGGUAGCGCCUCAUGUCCUGUCACUGCUACAAGAUGGAGGCCAGUAUCAGCUCUCCUCUCAGUGUGUCCACCAGCUACUCACGCUAUUGUGCUCUGAAUACCAUUCCAUUGUUGGUGUCCCAACCCAUCAGCAGAGGCCAGCUCCCAUUUCUGAACGACAGUUCCAUUUUACCAUGUCUGAGGGACGUAAACAGCGAAGGGCUCAUAGAAGGAUCUCCGCAAAGGUCAAGGCUGCACUAAGGAGAUAUGAGAAGCAGAAUACAGGACACUCUUAUCAGCUUCAUGUGGUGUGUGGUGUAAAUGAAUGUGUGUCAGGACUAGUCUGCUGCCUUUUCUGCGAGCAUCAAGGAAUCAGGAUUGUGCACCCGGCCUUGGAGAGAUUCCAUGGGCACGAGGCAGAGUUCGAGAAGAUGGUCCGCGGAGGAAAUCUGUACAAUAAUGACUACUAUCCGGAGGGCGACAUCGAGCCCUACACCAACCAUCAAAUCUUAAAGCACAGUGAGUAUGUUGCCAAGUGGGUGCACGACGGACUCGACGAGGACUGCAUGUACCUCGGUAGCAAUGACUUCAACAUCGAGGAAGAUGAAAGCGAUGAGGAGGUUGACGAUCUGGAGGAGACAAUGCCAAGGAAGCGUAAAGGAGAUGACGAUGGAAUCGAUGAGGUUCCUUCGAAGAAGGCGAAACGCCCUCCUCCGCGGAACAGAGCCUCACCCAGUUCGCUUCUUCUAGCAUGCAAGGACGUGAAUGAUGACAGGAAGGGUGCCAUUGAUGAUAUGGAUUUAACUAGCCUUCGAAAUAUCCAAUGUGACCAUCUAUUCAACAAUCUCAGUGUGUGGCUUGCUGAUCUCUACGACCCCAAUUCGCGUGAGGUGGUCGUACCAGGCCGAGGCAGGCUUCCGGUCAAUGAAGAAUACGUGCAUCGUGUUAUGGGUGUGCCGCGUGGAGGGAAUUAUGUCCCUUACAACCUCUCAUCUGAAACUGAUAUUGAGUUAGGGCUUGAGUUGUUUGGCGAGCUCGGAUAUGCCCCUAAAAUGACUGAUCUUGUUGAUCUCAUAAAGGGUUCUGAAAAUUCUGAUGACACUUUCAAGCGUAUGUGGCUUCUGCUUGCGGGGAAUACAGUCAUUGCCCCGACCACCUCCAAUAAAGUUAGCCCCCGUUGGUAUGCUGUGCUGCGUGACAUCAAUGGUGUUAAGAAUCUCAAUUGGUCCAAAUUUAUUGCUGAUGAACUGCACAAGGCGCUGUUGAAACGCAAGCCUACCAGGGGUUGCCUUCUUUUCUACAAUCUGUUGUACAUUCAUGCGAUUGAUCUUUCUGGACUUGGCAUCGAACUGCCUGAUGGUCCUUUUCCCAUCAAUGUAUGGACAAAGAAGCUGAUAACUCUUGUCCUCAACAAGGAUGUUCAGGCUGACAAAGUUUCUUUCGGGAAACUACCGUUGAAGCCUGAGUUUGGCAUGAAUUUCUGUCUCUUUGGUGGUGUGGAAGGUCUUGACAAGUUUAUGCGUGUUCAUACUGCCCCAAGCUGCAGUGAAGAGAAAUUUGCCAAAUUAACUCAGAUAGUUGCUCGAUUCACGUCCGCCAUGGCUGGCAUCCUAGGCAAUCUUGUGGAAUCAUUCACCGCUUUAGAUGAUGAGGGCCAUUCACAUGCAUCUCGUCAGCUAGACGCUGGAUUGAACGUUAUCUCCUCUGCCGCCCGUACGACGUCAAGGACUACACGGUCAUCGCAAGGCAGGCGGACAGAAAGUGCUGGAAAGAAUGUGGCUGAAGAUUCUGACAGCGAUGACGAUUAUCACGGAGGCGAUGAUUCUGAUUCUAACGCUGACUCCGAUGAUGAUGAUGAUGACUAUCGAGUUGUUCGUCGUCGCCCUAAAGAUCCUUUUGUUGCUUCAGGCAGUGGUACCGUGGAUGUAGACAUGGGCAGCGGUCCAGCUGAUGAUGAGACCACACAUCUUGAUGGUGCAACUGUCAAAGCCCAUGAUGCCACAGGACCAAAUGUUGAAGACACCCCUGUCUGCCCUGCCGGCGAUAACCUCGUUGAGUCUCAGAUCUUACUCACUAGAACAUCUCAUGCAGCAUCCGUCGAAUCAGCUGUGCCUGCCAGCCCAUCGCAAAGGCCGUCUUCACCAAUUGCACUGUCAGCAUAUGAGAUUCAUGAAGCUGUGAAGAAAGUUGUGGUCCAGGAGCUUGGUAUACGCGUGGCUGAAAAGGGAACCGGUGCCUCUGUCCCACUGUCCACUUUGCGGCAGGAGGCCCCACGCAGGGCCCCCGGCAAACAAUCUGUUGCUGCUAAGGAUUCAGGGAUUGCACCAGUGAAAAGUGCACCUAUGAAACAAGUUGCUGCUGCUAAGGGUUCUCCAAGUGAACCAGGAAAAAGUCGUUCAAAAGAUAAAAGUGCAGUGAAAAAGGUGAAAUUCGCCAAGACCAGAUCCUCUCCACGACUAAGGGCAACAUUGUCCCAGACAACGUCAUCGGAGACAACAGAAGUUAUCCAUCUUGAUGAAUCUCCCACGGCGACAUCUCCGUCUGAAAAAGCAGCAGCAUCUAGCGAGGGUGCAUCUGAUGCUGUUGCGGCGACAUCGGCUGGUGUUUCUGAUGACGCUGUUUUUCAGCUAGCUGCAGCGGCAAUUGUUACUGCUGCUGUUGAAGAUAUCGCCAGCGUGACUGUAGCUAUUGAAUGCGAAAAUGAAGUCGUCCCUAAUAUAGCGCAUGAUGGAAGUGAAGCUGAGAAAGUUAUGGGAAGUACCAGAGACAAUAUGCCUACUGAUACGGCUACAGCUGGAGGUGAAAAGAAUGAUGCCGAUAAUCCUGUUGUCACAGCAGUAGCUGACCAUGCAUUGGAGUUGAGCACCCCUGGAGCUGGAAACUACGAUGGUAAUUUUACGCCACCCAGCUGCUCUCUUGGGCUGGAUGACAUCUUUGGUGCGAGUCCUCAAGUGCCACCAUCUACUAAAGCAACUGCAACGGCUCAAGCUGCACCAACGUUGGCUCAAGUACCACCUGCAGCACCAGAAGCACCUGCGGCGGCGCCAUAUGCUCAAGUACCACCUGCAGCACUAGAAGCACCUGUGGCGGCGCCAUCUGCUCAAGUACCACCUGCAGAACCAGCUACUGGCCGUGACGCCGUUUUAGGGCUCGCAGCUCCUGUUGAUGCUGACUCGAAGGGCAAGGCAUUGAUGAAAGUUACCAAGGCUCAACCGGUUGCUUGGGCUCCGCCACCCAACAACUCUGACAACCCCCAAAGUCCAACAUUUGUUACACCAGAGUUACCACCUCGCACAGAGCAUUUAGUACGCAGUUCAACACCUAAAUCCUUUAUUCGGAAAGUUAGGGUCACCCACCCGUCCAAAUACCUGCUCCCACCUUUUGCCACCCUCACACCGAGCGAGGAGGCAGAGUACGUUUACAAUGAAGUUAUCAAGCAUACUACUGAUUCUAACUCUAAGAUUAAAGAUCUUAGGGUCAUCAACAUUGAUGGUAGGUGGGUUACCCUUGGUGAGCUUGCCAAUUGUGUGAAGGGAGUUGGGCAACUAUCAACCAGCAUUGCCGAGUUACAUGUUCGCGUUCUCCAGUAUAAGGAAACGUCAAACAGGCUCAUCUUCCCUUGGGUGCUCUUUGUGUAUCUGUUGUUAGGAGACUUCAAAUCCAAGUGUUUACUGAAGUAUUUUCGACGGGACAAGUUUUACAUUCUUAGUCACCAGGAUCAGCUGCUAUUCCCUGCUUUGCAAAAGUUGGACCACGGUCCAGAUGGCGGGCAUUGGUAUGUGUUGUCACUAAAUCUUAGGGCGAAGCGGUUUGAAGUUCUAGAUUCAUUGUGUGACCAAGAUAGUCCUUCUCUUCUCGAGCAUGCGACAAGAUACAUGAACGCAAUAAAGAAGGCCUGGUUGAUAAAUUACAAGGACUCGCAUAAGCAGAUUGAGGACUAUGAACUUGUGUACAUUGAUGUGUUGAAACAGGAAAAUGGGUUAGUUGUGGAUUACUCACUCUCUUUUUAA